rnacentral:tRNA from 1 species
GCGCGCGUGGCGGAAUUGGUAGACGCGCUGGAUUUAGGUUCCAGUGUCGACAGACGUGGGGGUUCGAGUCCCUCCGCGCGCACCA